GAGCAGCUUGGGGAGGGAGCCUGCACUGCCUGUGGGCCCCUCCCCACUAUCACUGCUGGAGCCUAAAGUUGCUUUGCCUGGCUCAGAUGCCUUAGCAGGACAACCCCCCUUCACUUUCACCAAAAGCACACCCUGAGUGGCUGAAAUGGACAGCUCCUACCACCACUGCUGCUGCUUUUGAUGAUGCUGCUGUUGUUUCUGCUGCUGCCCCCUCUCAGGAGAGAGGGAGAUUCCCUGCUACACUACCUGGCACCACACCUGCACUAGAUUACUCCCUAAUUGACUGACUGCUCCUGCCCUCCCCCACAGCUACCUCACUGCAUCUGAUCCUUCUUUGUCUUCCUGCCUACUGCUUUGCUGCUGAGCACCUGGCUGGAGCUCUGUGGAGAUCCUGGACAGAUCUUCAACAAACAGAGCCUCUCCACUGCUCCAGCAAUCUUUUGCAUCUGCCUCAGCAGCCUUCCCUGUGUGUUCUUGCCCUUAUGUGGCUGCUGCACAACAGGCGGCGGAGAGGGUGCUCAUGGUAGAGGGUUAUGAUCCAGCUGGUGGCAAGACCAUGGUUGGAGGCUGAGGGGUGCUUGGCAAUUCCUUAUCGGGGGCCCAGAGCCUGUCCACCUGAGGACCACCCCAUGGCUGAGUGCAUGCAGAUCCCCUCCAGGCAUAAAGGCCCAGGCACAGCUGGAGACAUCUGAUGUGGAGGGCUCCUCUCCUCCCAAGACCACCACACAGGGCAAACCAGGAGGUUCAGAUGGUGCCUAAGGAGUCUGCUGAGCCCCAAGACCAAGAGGAGGACAUCCAAGAACCAGCAGGCUCCAUGGUGCCUGCAGACCCCUCAGUCCCGGUGGUCCCCAGGUAUGAGUUACUUGCAGUUCUUGACCAUGACUACACCCACUGGUCUGCCAGCAAGGUACAGUUCACCUUGGACUGCUGGGGAGACGUUGACAGUGUCCUCACUACUGCAAGGGCAUUGGUGGGGGAAGACAAGGGGCCCAAAAGCUGCAACACGCAGAUCUGUAGGCAGGCCCACAGUUUCAUAUACACGUCUAUGGUGCUACGUGGCAUGGCAGGACUCACACUGGGUGUUGAAAUUCAUGAGGCCCCUGCUGAACCAUCUAUUCCAUCCCCCAAACCAUGAGGUCAUUCAAGAUUGCAACCCUCAACAUCCAUAGCUGCAGGAAAGGUCUUCGGAGAUGGCAGGACUCUCCUUCCUUCAGGAGGGAGGGUACCCCAUGAUAUUCCUGCAGGAGACCCUGACAACUCCAGCCAAUGAACCUAAUUGGUGGCUGGAGUGGGGAGGCAGGGUCUUUUUUAGUCACCUCUUGGCCACCUCUUGUGGGGUGGCCACCCUGUUCUCCCCAGGCCUGCAGCUGGAGGUUCUCCAGGACAUUGAGGUGGUGCCGGGUCACCUGCUGUACCUCCGGGUCCAGGUGCAGGGGUGGUCCUGAACGUGAACUCCCCUUUGAGCGACCCAGACUUGGCAGAUAUUUUUCUGUCAGAUGGACAUAUAAAUUGGGACCUUUAACCCUUGCAAGUGCCUGUUCCUUGCUGGGGACUCUAAUGUCACCCUAGACAUGCGAGACCAGUCAGGCAGGGAGCGGAACCUGGCCACCAUGGGCAUCUUUGGGGAGAUCCUGAUACACUACUCCUUGAUGGAUGUCUGGCUUACCUGUCACCAUACUGACCCCACUGCCUUUACCUAUGUGAGGGUGGGGGAGGAGCAGGCAUGCCACUUCUGGUUGGAACAGGUUUAUAUUUCUUUGCUGCACUUUGCCCAGGCCCACUCCUCUGGCCAAUGCCUCUCAUCGAUCACCACCUUGUCUAGGCCUAGUCCACAUUGGAGCCUGGGCAUCUGGGGUCACCCUACUGGCAUUUCAGUUCCAGUCUGCUGGAGGAUGUGGGCUUCAGGGAGACCUUCCAGGAGGACUGGCUGGCCUGGCAGGAGCAAUGGGCAGCUUUCUCCUCAGCUCAGAGAUGGUGGGAUGUGCGGAAGGUGCACAUCUGACUUUUUUGCCUCGGCUACACUUCGGGGGCACACCUGGCAGAGGGCAGUGGUCCAGGAGCACCUUGAGUGGGAAGUGUUAGAGCUGGAGAGGCACCUGGCCACCGACCCAACCAACCUGUUCCUCUGCGGAGAGUGUCAGGAGAGAUGGGGGGAAAAGCUUCAUGCUCUGGACGACCACCAUGCCCGCAGUGCAUUCGUCCACUUGUGCAUCCAGCUCCUUCCCUUCAGCAGAUGGACCAUGGAUCCUGCUUCUUCUAUGCUCUGGAGAGGAGGCAGGGGGCCAAUAAGUACAUCACCUCUCUUCUGGUGGGUGCUGGCACCCCCUCACGGAUCCAGGUGAGAUCUGCCAGUGCACAUGGGCGUUCUAUGAAGAGCUCUUCUCCCUGAAUCUGACCAAUGCCAAGGCCUGUCAGGCCCUGUGGGACAGAAUCCCGCAGCACAAUGUGGGCUGGGACUGGAUGAAAGCUCCUCUCACUCUGGCUCAGUUUUCAGCCACCCUCAGCUUGAUCCCUGGCAACAAGGUGCUGGCCAUCAAUGGGCUGACUGCGGAGUUUUACUGGGUCUUCUGGGAAGUCCUCAGCCUGAACCUUGCAGCAGUUUGGGCUGAAUCUGAGGGAAGUGGGGAGCUCCCCCUGUCAUGCUGGAGGGCUGUGCUGACCCUCCUGCCAAAGAAGAGGGAUCCCCAUGACCUGAGGAAUUGGCGCCCCAUGUCCCUCCUCUUCAUGGACUGCAUGCAAGGUGGCAGUGAAGGCCCUCUCACUACACCUGUGGUUCGUGCUGAUGGACAUGAUUGAUCCUGACUAGACAUACAUAGUGCCCAGAUGUUCCAUCUUCAACCACCUAUACCUGGUUCAGGAGCUCCUGGAGCUAGCAAGCCAGGAGGGCCUGUCUUUUUCCUGCCUGUCCCUGCACCAGGGGAAGGUGUUUGUAAGAGUGGAUCACAGGUGCCUCACAGGCAUGCUGUGGGCCUUUGGCUUUGGGCCCUGCUUCAUGUGGGCUUUCCAGGUGCUGUACACCUCUGCAGUGUUAGGUAAUGCUCAACUGGACCCUGACGGAAUCCAUCCCGUUCAUGAGAGGGGUGUGUCAAGGCUUCCCGCUGUCAGGCCAUCUGUACACCUUGGCCUUGGAGCCCUUCCUCAUUCUCCUGCAGAAGUGGGUGGUGGGGUGGAUGCUCCGGGAGCCAGUGGUGUGGCUGGUCCUGUCAGCCUAUGCUGACAACAUACUCCUCACGUUCCAGGACCCAGGUGACCUGGUGCAGGUGGAGGCCUGCCAGCCAUUGUACUCAGUAGCCUUCUCUACCCAGGUCAACUGGAUCAGGACCUUUGGCCUCAUGGUGGGUGGCAGACUCAGUGCGUGAGUAGGUAUGGGGGGAUUGUGGGUGUGGGGGUACUGUAGGUAUGGGGGCUGAUUAGGAUGGGUGGGUCCCUUGCCCCCCACAGGGCAGAGCCUGCACACACAGCACAUGGACUGCCCUGCCUGCAGGGUCCCAGCACCCCCUGGGAAUACAUCCCCCCCCCAAUUCUUUCCAUGGCUCCAGCCCCUUGCUUGUCUCCAGCACUCUGCUCAUUCCCCUGCUCAUCUCCAGUCUUGGGAGGCUGGAGAAAGCAGGAGAACAAGCAAGAGGCUGGAGACAGCAGGAGAAGUCUCCAGUUCAUCUCCAAGGGCUUGUAUCCAGCCCCCUGCUCAUUUUCCUGCUUGUAUCCAGCCCCCUGCUCAUUUUCCUGCUUGUAUCCAGCCUCCUGCCCAUCUCCAGCCUUGGGAGGCUGGAGAUGAGCAGGAGAGUGAGUAGGAGGCUGGAGACAAGCCCCUGGAGAUGAUCUGAAGAUGUUCUGCUGCUUGUCUCCAGGCCUCCAGUAGCUGGAGACAAGCGGGAGAAUGAGCAGGAGGCUGGAGUCGAGUCAAGGAGUGAUCAGGAGGUUGGAGAUAAUUCAGAGAAUCCCUCAGUCAGCUCCAGCCUCCUGAUCACUCCCCCCUAUCAGCUCACCCACCUGGCUUCAGCCUCCUGCACUGCCAGCACUGCUUACCAGCAGCAGCAGUGGCACAGUCCCCACGCAUGGCGGGGGGCAGCAGGGCUCAUAUGCAUGUGGCCUGGCUCAGGAGGGUGCCAUGCACUGUCCAGCAGCUUGGGGGUCCUGCAUCUGUCACCCAGGGCUCAGCACCACUCAGCCUGAGUGGCCAGAGCUCUGAGACAGUGUGCAGUACCCUGCCAAGCCAGGCCACACCCACACAAUGUGGCAGCAGGUGUGCCAGGCAGCCAAAAACACUACUCUAAUUCCUGUAUCGACAGUAACUUUCUCUGCUAUUGUGUUGUGUUUUAUAAUGUAAAAGUCAAGAAACAUUAUGAGCUUCUCAUUAGAUUGAAAUAGGUGUGAUCUACAGAACUUGUUAAUCAAUAACCUCU